rnacentral:rRNA from 1 species
UGAGGAAUUUUGGACAAUGGGGGGAAACCCUGAUCCAGCCAUGCCGCGUGCGGGAAGGAGGCCUUCGGGUUGUAAACCGCUUUUGUCAGGGACGAAAAGUCGUAUUUGAACAAAGUACGAUGCUGACGGUACCUGAAGAAUAAGCACCGGCUAACUACGUGCCAGCAGCCGCGGUAAUACGUAGGGUGCAAGCGUUAAUCGGAAUUACUGGGCGUAAAGCGUGCGCAGGCGGUUGGAUAAGACAGAUGUGAAAUCCCCGGGCUUAACCUGGGAACCGCAUUUGUGACUGUCUGACUGGAGUAUGUCAGAGGGGGUGGAAUUCCACGUGUAGCAGUGAAAUGCGUAGAUAUGUGGAAGAACACCGAUGGCGAAGGCAGCCCCCUGGGGCAAAACUGACGCUCAUGCACGAAAGCGUGGGGAGCAAACAGGAUUAGAUACCCUGGUAGU